ensembl:lncRNA
GACAGGUCAAAACAGAAACAGAUGAGGAACAAUGGGAGAAAGAAGGAAAAAGAGAGAAAAGGAGGAAGAAGGGCAGAGGCUGAAGCAGGGAUCAUAACAUUAGUAGACAAAAUCAAACAAUUCUCGCUAUGAAUGCUGCAUCCUUAAGAUGGUAGUAGAAGAUCGAGACACAAGAAGCUGCUCAACUCGACUCCUAUUGAUGCAACAUGAUGGUACCUCACAGACGUUCAGUAUCAACAGAUCUCUGUCUGUUUGUGAAGUAACGCAUCAAGAUGACUGCAAACUUUUAUUCAAGUUGAAACUUCAGUAACUACCACAUACUGGUUCAUAUAAUGGAAUUUGCCAAUUAUACUGUUA